UGUAAACCUUCGUUUUUCUAAAUAAAUUAAUUGAAAACAUGUAACCAUUUUAUUUUUACUAUUUAUCUUUUGGUUGUCUGGGAUGUAAAUUUUUCUCUGUGCAAGCAAAAAGGGCAGUUGAGACUCAUCUUAAACAAAGUAAUUUUUUUCCCCCUCUUGUUAAUUGUAAGUUUGUAAUUAUAGAAACAUAGUUUUUAAAAAUUUAAAGAAAUUUGAUAGAGAUCAGGUUAUAAUUAAUUCUUUAAUAUAGAAGAUGAAAAACCUGAGAUUCAUGAGUUUGAUAUAUUUUGUAUUUGUAAAACCUGAUUAUAUUAAGUAUUAAUUGCAGAAUUUAAAGCUAGAAUAAUUGGAUUUGAGUCCUUGAUCCAACUGCUAAAUUGUAGUCUUAGACCCAGCCCCUCACUCUCACUGUCAAUAAAGUGAAAAUCUAGAAC
rnacentral:lncRNA from 1 species